rnacentral:misc_RNA from 1 species
AGGGAUCAUUACACAACGAAAAUAUGAAGGCUUUGGCUUCGCGGCCGGCUGAAAUAUUUUUUUCACCCAUGUCUUUUGCGCACUUGUUGUUUCCUGGGCGGGUUCGCCCGCCACCAGGACCAAACCAUAAACCUUUUUUUAAUGCAGUUGCAAUCAGCGUCAGUAAAAAACAAUGUAAUUAUUACAACUUUCAACAACGGAUCUCUUGGUUCUG